GCCUGCAGGACAGGAGGGGAGGGGCCCGGACUUCAGUCCCAGACGGCGGGGAUCGAGAUGGCCUCCGUGCGGAUCCGAGAGGCCCAAGAGGGAGACUGUGGACAUAUCCUGAGGCUGAUUCGGGAGCUGGCCGAGUACGAGAAACUCUCGGAGCAGGUGCAGAUCAGCGAAGAAGACCUGAGAGCAGAUGGCUUCGGAGGGAACCCCUUCUAUCACUGUUUGGCGGCUGAGGUCCUUCCCGCCCCCGGGGAGCCGCAGGGGCCCCGUGUGGUGGGUUAUGGGCUGUAUUACUUCAUCUACAGCACGUGGAAGGGGCGCAACGUUUAUCUGGAAGACAUCUAUGUGACGCCGGAAUGUAGGGGUCAGGGGAUUGGCUCCAAAAUAAUAAAAAAGGUGGCUCAGGUGGCCCUGGAUCAGGGCUGUUCCCAGUUCCGCCUCGCAGUCCUGGCCUGGAACCAGAGGGCCAUGGCCUUGUACAAGGCCCUGGGAGCCCAGGAUCUGACUGAAACCAAGGGCUGGCAUGACUUUUGCUUCGAAGAAGAGGCCAUGAGGAAGUUGGCGGGAAAGUGAGGCCAUUCCUUGGGGAUCUCCGGGGUCGACCUCCUUCCCCACCAGCUCAAGCCCUCUGCACAGGCCUCCCUGAAGGAAGAGAGGUUGCGAGUGGCUAUCCCCAAAUUAGGAGCAGAGCAGUAUCCGGGCGGAGGCCUUUCCUCCUCCUUGUUGAGGUUCAGGAAAACCAAACAGACCUCUAGGACCCAUGCAGAGAAGGAGGGAGACAAGCUCCUGUCCUACUUUCAUAAUUAACCCCUAUUACACAGUGAGCUCUACACCCAACGUGGGGCUCAA